ensembl:lncRNA
AUGCUUUUAUUAGUCAAUGCAUAUUAUUCAGGGUAUCCACGUUGGCUCUCAGAUUUUAAUUUGGCUCAACCACUGAUUGUUGUCAAAUGUGAACCCUUUCCUGUGGAGAGACCACUGUUUCUCAGAACCCCUGUUUGUUUUUCUACGAAGGAGAAAGGCCUUAACAUGGCGUUGGUCUUCAGCUUGUCCACUCUCAUGUUUCUCAUCACUGGGAUGGAGACAUCCAAAAGUCUAAGUCAGGGCCCAGAGUUGAAGCUGGUCAUCCAGGAGGACUCUGGGAAGGAUGCAGUCCUACAGUGCUCUGUGAACAUCAGUGAGAAAUCCCCUGGUAAUGUAAACAUAGAGAAGGUCGUGUGGUGGAGGCUGGACCAGAAUGGUCUUCACAAAGGUGAACCUGUGUUCAUAUGCAACAUAUUCAAUCAACAAUCCUCCAAUCCCAGGUUGCAGCUGAACCCAAAAUAUCAGCUUUCCAUGCCACCUGCCAAUGAGAAAGACAAAGUUGUGUCCCUGUUGGUCAAAGAAACGCAGCCUGAAGACGAGGGUCCUUAUGAGUGUGUGGUGAACACUGACAGUGGAAUCACAAAUUGUAACUGCAUGCUGAAGCUCACAGGUAACCUCACAGGUCAGCUCACAGGUAACCUCACAGGUCAGCUCAAAGCUUUUGGACUCAAACGUUUAUUGGUAGGGCCCUGAGUAUUUCCCAGUCAGGAAAAACUAAGGGCUUUACACAUAGUUUUGAAUUCAAAGUGCCUUCCUCACACCCUAACACUGACCAUUUAGUAUUCUCCUUUUUGCAUCAUGAUUUCCACUGUGCAGAGGAUCCAUCAAGAAUUUGUGCUUUUCUCACAUUAACCUCUAUUAGUAUCCAAUAUAAAUUGACUUACCCUACAAACAUGACCUUAUUGAUUCCAUACCUGAAUGCGACGUGAUUUUCAAUUAUAUUGAUUCUGAUUUUGUGUUACAGUACGAGACCAGCACCAGGGUCCUGGAAAUGUUGCGGAUAAACAGGAGAUUCCAAAGAACAGUUACAUGAGUGUGGCUGCUGUAUGUGUGGUAGUAGGCUCUCUUGCCAUUGGACUGCUGCUUCUCAAGCUGUUUCAAGCCAGAAGACUCAGACAAGGUGAGCACCCAGGGUCAUGUCCAUUAGGGCACACUGUUGCAAAAAUGCUUCAAGAUGUUAUUCAGAUAGUUCCUCCCCAUUUCAGACUGCUUCUUUCCAGUUCAUUACCCUGCUUUUCACAGUCUCCGCAGAAAGACUGUGUCUGGGAAGAUUAGUUAAGUACUUCCUGUCCUAGCUAAAUGCCAUGAUAUUUUUUUCUUUUAUUUGACCUUUAUUUAACCAGGCAAGUCAGUUAAGAACAAAUUCUAAUUUUCAAUGACGGCCUAGGAACAGUGGGUUAACUGCCUGUUCAGGGACAGAACGACAGAUUUGUACCUUGUCAGCUUGGGGAUUCAAUCUAGCAACCUUUCAGUUAUUAGUCCAACACUCUAACCACUAGGCUACCGCCCCCAAUAGAAUAAGUGGAAUGGAGAACUAACUGCUCAGACAAGAGGACUGAACUUAGUUUUUUCAUUGUUUUAGUUUCUCUAUUGCUGUCCUCCUUCCCAGAUAGGAAUUCAGGAUUUGUUAUUGUAUUGUCAGUGAGUGAUAAAUCACAAACCAUGGUAGAGCACACAGUAUCAACCCUUGUAAAAGGUUGCUUCUGGUUUCUCUUUCCAUAUGAACCCUUGAUACAAGAGGACUCUGUUGUGGCAGAAGGUAUGUUUGAGUAUGUUAUUUGUCUACCUAAUGGAAGAGGAUUCCUGUCCAAACUAUCAAAGUAUAUCAAAUGUCUGUAAAAUGCACUUUAUAAAAUGUCUCACCAACCACCAGGAGGCCCAGCACAAGAACCAGGUAGCCUAGUGGUUAGAGCGUUGGACUAGUAACUGGAAGUUUGCAAGUUCAAAACCCCCGAGCUGACAAGGUACAAAUCUGUCGUUCUGCCCCUGAACAGGCAGUUAACCCACUGUUCCUAGGCCGUCAUUGAAAAUAAGAAUUUGUUGACUUGCCUAGUUAAAUAAAGGUCAAAAAUUACAUAUAUAUAUAUAUAUAUUUUUUUAAUUCCGGGCAUUCCCGUGGUUGGCAGGCUGCAUCACAUCCAGCUGUGAUUGGUAGUCCCAUAGGGCGGCGCACAAUUGGCCCAGCGUCGUCCGGGGUAGGCCGUCAUUGUAAAUACGAAUUUGUUCUUAACUGACUUGCCUAGUUAAAUUGAAAAAAAUAAGUGUUCCUAUUGUCCCCUAUGGAACCAGAGCCUCAGGAUACAGCAGUCCCAGCAGAGCACAACCCCAGAACCAGGACCGUUUCCGUAGCGACAGAUGUAUUAUCAGGGGUGCCAUUGGCUCUCUUCUCUGUCAGUGUCAUGUCUGCUCUGUCUCUCACGGCACAUCGCUAACUGAAUGUGAAUGCUUUGCCUGGAGGAGGGAGCAAUCUGGCUUAACACUAUUCUGUUCCCCCUCUGCAGGAGAAAUGGAGUGCACGCAUUGUCCUGCUAUCAAGCUAAUUGUUAGCAGCAUUGUCUGUAGUUGUUAAUCACACCAGACUAUUCUUUCAUAAUUGUUUUAUAUAUUGUAACUAAAACCUGAUAUGAAACAAAUGCACAUAUUUAGUGGACAUUGAUUUGAUAGUGAAGACACUAGUGUGAUACAGUAGCAGUGUGUGAAAUUGAUCUUGACAGAACACAUUUACUUUGUGCAUCACAAUUUGAAUAAGUAAUUUAUUCAGAAGCCAAUAUUGUGUUUUAGUUAAUUUGAGAGUUGCUUUAGUUGACAAAUGCCAUGUUUUUUAUUGUUACAAAGUGGGAUUCAAAUGUAUUUAAUUGUCAUUUUUUUGUAAACAAUCUACAUAAAAUACUGUCAAAGUGUAAGAAGAAAUAACCCGAACAGCUGUGUUAUGUUUUAUGCUGUUGGUUGUGUUGUACUUACCAGUACGCAGUGUUCGCGGGGUCCGACAUGCCAGUCAAUCUGCUAUCUGCCAACCACGGGAAUGCCUGGAAUGUUCUUGUGCCGGGCAUCCUGGUGGCUGGUGGAGCAUCGCAGGUUUACUUCUGGUCUUUACAAGACAUAUCUAUGCUUAUUUAUUUUAUCUUGUGUCCUUUACCAUUUGUACAUUGUUAAAACACUGUAUAUAUAUAAUAUGACAUUUGUAAUGUAUUUAUUGUUUUGAAACUUCUAUGUGUGAUGUUUACUGUUAAUUUUUAUUGUUUAUUUCACUUUAUAUAUUCACUUUAUAUAUUGUCCACCUCACUUGCUUUGGCAAUGUUAACACAUGUUUCCCAUGCCAAUAAAGCCCUUGAAUUGAAUUGGUCACGGUUGUUUGUAUGGAUAUCCUUCAUUUAUUUGGCGUGGGCUAUGGCCGAACAGUAGCCUGUGUGGAGUUGGGUUAAUAAACCGUGAAUUCGUC